AAUUUCUUCUCCGCGGGCAGAGGAUCCGGUCCUUUCUUUACCGCGACAGGCUGUUCAUGAUUCUCAGGAGGGGGUUAUUUCGAGUCAAGUCUCGUUCCCUACGGAUGUUGUUGAGGCGGGAGAUGAACAGCGUUCACAGCUGCCCUUGGAGAAAGUCCAUUUGGCAUCGCCCCACACUCCACAAGGGAGAGGUGGGUCGAGCUCGGGUUCUUUGCAUCCUUCGCCAAUGAAGACGCCAUCUGCUGAGGUGAUCACAAGGGGCACCGGUGUUUUCCUGGGUGGGAGAUAUUCUAAAAAAGAUGUGAUUGCUUUUGGUGGAAUUUCUGAAGAGGCGGUUUUUGGUGUGCGAACAAGUGAAAGAAUCAAAGCUCAGCCUAAUGCUGAUGUGACACAACUGGAACGUGCGCAGCAGAAUGCACAGGCUAGAGAUGAUAUUCUGUAUUCAGGUUAUUCCCUUGGCCAUACAUUGGAUCCGUACGUGGUCUUAUAUCCAAGCAGAGGAGCAGCGAGCUGCCAUGGAG